rnacentral:lncRNA from 1 species
CAUCAUACUUGCAGUUGUCUUGCAGGUGCUUAAACAAGACUCUUGGCCUUUCACCCAGCACUAUCAGCUUCCUUCUUUUAUUGCACAAUGUUUACCAUUUCUUUGCCUAGCCUUACUGUUUUAACAGAGUGCUUUUGAAGGAAAACUUAAGAAAUUGUUCAAAUACCUACUUGCCACAAGGCAAACAAACACUGAGCUUCAUGUUUGUUCCAGGAGAGCCUCCCAGAGGCAGUUUUGUCAUGAAACUAGAUGCCAUCAGUCUCUGGGGGAAUGUGAUGGUGACUUGCUUACUUUGGCAUGUCACGUGUCAUCUGCACUGUGGGGAUGAUUUCAGCUGUGAGAAUCCUUGGUAUCCAGACUCAGCCUGCAAUUCAAUCAAGACCCUUUACCUGUACCUCUGCAAGUUAAGAGAUGUUUGGAGCUGAUCAAAGUAAAAGCUGAUGUACAGAUCUGCAAGUUUAUUCAUUAGUAACAUCUAUAUGUUUGUAAUUAAUAUAUAUAUUUGCCUUUCAUUUUGUAUAUUAUACUGGUAAUAUUACAAAUUGUGGAGUGGGUUUUGUGUGUGUGUGUGUGUUUUUUUUGUUAUUUGGUUUUUUGCAUAUUUUAUUUUAUUUUGUCACUCAACCACGUGUGUUAUAAAUAUUUGGAAUUUUCAGGUGAAACUUUCUGAUUAAUGUCAAUCGCUGGCAAAGGCUCCAACUACGUAUGACCAACGUAUUGUAUUCCUAAUCUCUUCAGAACAAAGGGUCUUGUUCCUUUCUAAAUGUGGUAGUGCACAGGGGAAUGACAUCAAUUAUCUUAAUCAACAUUUCAUAUCCAACAGAACAAGGUUAUUACCAAAGGAAAUUGGUUUUAUUUAAAGAGACAUGCCUGAAUAUUUAAUGUCAAUACUUUCCUCUUGAUUCUCUACUGUUUGUAUAAAAUAUGUGAAGUGCAGUUGUAAAAACAACACGCAAAGAUGUUUUGUGGAAUAAAUGAAAUAAUAAAUGCA